GAUGAAGAACGCAGCGAAAUGCGAUAAGUAAUGUGAAUUGCAGAAUUCAGUGAAUCAUCGAAUCUUUGAACGCACAUUGCGCCCACCAGUAUUCUGGCGGGCAUGCCUGUUCGAGCGUCAUUUCAACCAUCAAGCCCCAGGCUUGUGUUGGGGACCUGCGGCUGCCGCAGGCCCUGAAAACCAGUGGCGGGCUCGCUGUCACACCGGGCGUAGUAGAUUUUAUCUCGCUCAGGGCGUGCUGCGGGUUCCGGCCGUUAAAAAGCCUUUUUUACCCAAGGUUGACCUCGGAUCAGGUAGGAAGACCCGCUGAACUUAAGCAUAUCAAUAAGCGGAGGA
rnacentral:misc_RNA from 1 species